rnacentral:rRNA from 1 species
GACGAACGCUGGCGGCGUGCUUAACACAUGCAAGUCGAACGAUGAAGAAAAGAAUUGAAGCUUCGGCAGAAAUUCAUUUCGGAUUAGUGGCAGACGGGUGAGUAACGCGUGAGCAACCUACCUCUUACAAAGGGAUAGCCUCGGGAAACCGGGAUUAAUACCAUAUAACAUUGCGACGAAGCAUUUCGAUGCAAUCAAAGCUACGGCGGUAAGAGAUGGGCUCGCGUCCCAUUAACCAGAUGGUGAGGUAACGGCUCACCAUAGUAACGAUGGGUAACCGGCCUGAGAGGGUGAACGGUCACACUGGAGCUGAGACACGGUCCAGACUACUGCGGGAGGCAGCAGUGGGGAAUAUUGCACAAUGGAGGGAGCUCUGAUGCAGCGACGCCGCGUGAGUGAUGAAGGAAUUCGUUUCGUAAAACUCUGUUAUAUGGGAAGAAAAGGACUGUACCAUAGGAGAAAGCUCCGGCUAAAUACGUG